rnacentral:rRNA from 1 species
GACGAACGCUGGCGGCGUGCUUAACACAUGCAAGUCGAACGGAAAGGCCCUGCUUUUGUGGGGUGCUCGAGUGGCGAACGGGUGAGUAACACGUGAGUAACCUGCCCUUGACUUUGGGAUAACUUCAGGAAACUGGGGCUAAUACCGGAUAGGAGCUCCUGCUGCAUGGUGGUGGUUGGAAAGUUUCGGCCGUAGGGGAUGGUCUCGCGGCUUAUCAGCUUGUUGGUGGGGUAGUGGUUUACCAAGGUUUUGACGGAUAGCCCGCAUGGGAGGUUGACCGGCCACAAUGGGACUGCGGUACGGCGCAGACUGCUACGGGAGGCAGCAGUGGGGAGUAUUGCACAAUGGGCGGAAGCGUGAUGCAGCAACGCCGCGUUCGGGAUGACGGCCUUCGAGUUGUAAACCACUGUCUCCUGUGACGAAGCGUGAGUGACGGUAAUGGGUAAAGAAGCACCGGCUAACUACGUG